UGUUGUUCCACAUAUACCUUUCGAGACUAUCCAGAAGUACAACGAAUUUACCAGCAUGUUGGAAAAGGAAGAGACUUUUAAACAAUUUGUUAAAGAACUUUCCUUGUCGCCAGAAAAAUCGUUUGAUAAAUUUAUCCGUAGCUGCUGGAAAAAGAUGUUUUCCGACAACCUUGCGGAGCAGUUUUCGUGGAGAGGAACUAACACUAAGAAAUGCAUUCGUGGAUGCCGUAUAACUUUGGCUAUUCGACAUGCUUUUAAGAACAAAUUUGCCCUGGAAGACGAGGAUUUUGAUAAAAUAACUCAAAAGCAUUUCCAGUACGCCCAUGACAGGCUGACAAAAUGUUCCAAAUACGCUUCCAAAAAAACAAAACAUGACAACGAGCAGCUACCACCUUAAACGUAUACUAUUUAUAAAUAAAUAUUAUUAAACUAACACUAUUUACUAAUAAAUUUAUGUAUGCAUUUAUUAAUUUAUUUUUUAAUAUAAGAUAUUUUUACAUAAAAUGUAAUGAAUAAAUAUGAAAUAAAUUGUUAAGUUUUUUAAAGUAA